AAUGCAUUUUUGGUGGUUAGUGGAAUAGUGGGAACUGGGAAGGAGAAGAAAGGACAACGAAAUGGUGUCGUAAUGUUAGGAUGGGUAGAGUAAAUGAACUUCGAGUCGAAGUGAUCUUAACGUGUGUGCCUUUCUUCAUGGUCCAUCGUUGUCUAUUAGGGGUUACCACGUGGACACUUAAUUAUGGGUUCUUUAUUUUCUGCCACGUGUCCAAUCUUCUUGUUCUU